GGGGCCUACGGGAGGCAGCAGGGAGGAAUAUUGGUCAAUGGGCGCAAGCCUGAACCAGCCAUGCCGCGUGCAGGAAGAAUGCCCUAUGGGUUGUAAACUGCUUUUAUUUGGGAAUAAACCUCUUUACGUGUAGAGAGCUGAAGGUACCAAAUGAAUAAGCACCGGCUAACUCCGUGCCAGCAGCCGCGGUAAUACGGAGGGUGCAAGCGUUAUCCGGAAUCAUUGGGUUUAAAGGGUCCGCAGGCGGAUUUAUAAGUCAGUGGUGAAAUCCUAUCGCUUAACGAUAGAACUGCCAUUGAUACUGUAAGUCUUGAAUUCGGUCGGAGUGGGCGGAAUGUGUAGUGUAGCGGUGAAAUGCAUAGAUAUUACACAGAACACCGAUAGCGAAGGCAGCUCACUAGGCCUGAAUUGACGCUCAGGGACGAAAGCGUGGGGAUCAAACAGGAUUAGAUACCCUGGUAGUCCACGCUGUAAACGAUGAUUACUCGUUUUCGGCGAUAUACAGUCGGAGACUAAGCGAAAGUGAUAAGUAAUCCACCUGGGGAGUACGAUCGCAAGGUUGAAACUCAAAGGAAUUGACGGGG
rnacentral:rRNA from 1 species